rnacentral:rRNA from 1 species
UACGGAGGGAGCUAGCGUUGUUCGGAAUUACUGGGCGUAAAGCGCGCGUAGGCGGCUUUGUAAGUUAGAGGUGAAAGCCCGGGCUCAACCCCCGGAACUGCCCAUUUAAGACUGCAUCGCUGGAAUCCGGGAGAGGUGAGUGGAACUGCGAGUGUAGAGGUGAAAUUCGUAGAUAUUCGCAAGAACACCAAUGGCGAAGGCAGCGUCCUGGGAAGUGACUGACGCUCAUGUGCGAAAGCUAGGGGAGCGAACGGG